rnacentral:rRNA from 1 species
UACGUAGGGUGCGAGCGUUGUCCGGAAUUAUUGGGCGUAAAGAGCUUGUAGGCGGUUUGUCGCGUCUGCUGUGAAAAUCCGGGGCUCAACCCCGGACUUGCAGUGGGUACGGGCAGACUAGAGUGCGGUAGGGGAGAGCUGGAAUUCCUGGUGUAGCGGUGGAAUGCGCAGAUAUCAGGAGGAACACCGAUGGCGAAGGCAGGUCUCUGGGCCGCGAACUGACGCUGAGGAGCGAAAGCGUGGGGAGCGAACAGG